rnacentral:tRNA from 1 species
GGGAAAGUAAGGUAGCAAGACGAUUUCUAAUCAUUCUUGAAAACAGUUCGAUUCUGUUUGUUUCUCU